rnacentral:rRNA from 1 species
ACGGAAGGCAGCAGUGGGGAAUAUUGGACAAUGGGGGAAACCCUGAUCCAGCGACGCCGCGUGAGUGAAGAAGUAUUUCGGUAUGUAAAGCUCUGUCAGCAGGGAAGAUAAUGACGGUACCUGACUAAGAAGCCCCGGCUAACUACGUGCCAGCAGCCGCGGUAAUACGUGGGGGGCAAGCGUUAUCCGGAUUUACUGGGUGUAAAGGGAGCGUAGACGGCAUGGCAAGUCUGAUGUGAAAACCCGGGGCUCAACCCCGGGACUGCAUUGGAAACUGUCAAGCUAGAGUGCAGGAGAGGUAAGUGGAAUUCCUAGUGUAGCGGUGAAAUGCGUAGAUAUUAGGAGGAACACCAGUGGCGAAGGCGGCCUACUGGACUGUAACUGACGUUGAGGCUCGAAAGCGUGGGGAGCAAACAGGAUUAGAUACCCUGGUA